UGACACUUGCAAAGAGUGGAAAGCUACCGGGCUGGACGAAGGGAAGGGACCUGGAGUGGAGAGUCUUGAGGGUCAGAGAACCUGGGAGAGGGGCCUUAGUGGGUCGAGAGCUUCCAGCUGGUGGAGGAAGGAGGACGAAGCCUGGACAACUGCGGAUUGCAGAUGGGAGGACCAAGGGACGGGCCAGUAUCCAGGAUCCUGGGCCAGCCAUUAAGCCUCUGAUGGGACCCAAAAGGACAGAGAAAAGAACUGGGCACUUCCUACCCCUCCCUGCCCCAAAUUCUGAUGUGCCCCCAGGCAGAAGCAGGGAAUCCUGAGCAGCCAGGCACGGGAUCAAGUCACCAAAUCAGCGUUUUUUUUUGCAGAGGUCAGAAGAUGUGAGAGAAGGUGGUGGUUAGGGAAGGAAAAGGAGCUGGAACAGGGGAGAAUAAGGGAUGAGACUCAGGAUUAGAGAAGAUAAGAGAUGGGAAGAGGCAGUGGGCAAGGAGUAACAGGGUGGUCCAGACUCCAUCAGGGCCUGAGAAAUUUGGAUGCCAUCACUCCUCCUGGCCCUCUCCAGGCCCCACCGGAGCCUGAAUUCUCCACCCACCUAUUAGGGAGGAGGGGGCUUCUGGAGGCAUGAUGGAGGCUCAAGAUACAGGACACCCAGGGGGGUGUGUUCACAGACCAGGGGAAAAUGCACUCUAUUUUUGGCCACAGACAUCAGGAGGGGAGAGGCCAAUGUCUGUCUACGUUUUCAGAUCCUUUCCUCACCCCUGCUCCUCCCAACCCAUCCUUUCCCAGGCCCUCAAGGCACAAAAUCCCUGAGAGCUUCAACUCCCACCGCCGUCAUCCUCAGCGCCCUCUCCCAGCGUUUCCUCCCCCAUUCCCUAAGGCCCUGGAAUUGGGGAAGGGUCUUCCCCUUCCUGACCUCUAGGACCCCUUCCUUGUUCCUCCUCCCCCAUUCAUAUCAGCUACACAUCCAGAAAAGGGGAUCUCCGGACACUAAAGCUGACAACAUGGGGACUUCCUGCCUACCAUCUUGGUCCCCCGAGAUCCUCCAAGUACCUUGGUCCCAAAGCUCAGAAUCAAGGGGAAUCUCUCCGCUCUAAUCUUUGGGUCCCCGUCUCCCGAGUCCCCCGCCUCCAAAACUGGGAUUUGGGCUGUCUUACCGUCCCCGGACCCUGAACCUUCUCCCCCUCCCCCGUACUCACCCCAAGUCGAGGCGAGGCGGGGAUUGGGGGGGAUCCCGGGCUGGAGAUGGGGGGAGGGGUGACCCAGCCUUGGCAGCUCUGGGCAGCAAGAGGCUGCGGAGGGGGGGAUGACAUCACCGCCGGAGGAGGGGCAGCACCGCUUCCCCCAACCGGGGGCUUCAAGCUCCGCCUUUAUGGCGGACCCAGGGGUCCCGGAAUCCCAAGGGGAGAGAGAAGGAACAGGAGAUGAGGUCCGCAGGAAUGGUAUCCCCUCCGCUUAGAACAAAGGUUGGGAAAUCCUUUACCGAUUUCAGCCACCCCCCACUGCCACCUGUCGCUGCCGUCGCGACCUGUCGCCUCCCACGCAUGUUGUGGCUACGCCCGCCUCCGCCAGGGCGUGAACACGGCAUGGACUACAACGCCCGAGAUGCUCCGCGGUGCCGGGCGCCUUUGACGAGAGGCAGUGUAGACGAGGAGCUUCAUGGGAUUCGUAGUAUAAGACCCCCUCACCAGUGUGAGCCUUGGAGAAAAAAGGUGAUGUGUUUCCCGGCCCUCUCUUCCUCAACUCCGGAGGUCCAGACACUAAUUUUUCUCUCUAAACAUCACGCACUGAAAAGAAGCAACCCAGCCAGGUUCAUUCAAUGGAAAUAGCGGGUUUUUACAGGGUAGCUACACCGCCACUACCACCCUGUAUGCACGCGCUCAGCUAGGGCGGCCACCGGAGAACUGCGCCUGCGCGGGCCCGCCCCCUCGCUGCCCCGCCCCGCGAGGCCGAGCGCGCGCCAGGCCCACUCGGGCACCGCCGUGUGUGUCCCCGCGGUCGAAGACGGCCACGUAGGUUCCCAGGAAGACAUCGCCGAGAAUCCAGAGGGGCCCUGCAGGCGGAGGCAUAUCCAAGGCCUGGAAGCCGGACAAGCAGAGACGGACGCCAUCCCGAGAAAUCUGCGCGCAAGAAGACAGGGCAGCUGGUUGUCACAAACAGGGGCCCUUUCCCUGCUUCGCCCCGUCCAGUACUCCUGGACAAAAAACGUUUCUGUGACCCCAACCCCGUCCUGAUGCUGUCUCACUCCCAGCCCUACCCUCUCAAAUCCAGUCAUAUGACGUCACUGUGACAGCCACCUACCUGGAUGACGUAGUCCUUGGCCGUGAGGUUAAACCAGACCCCGCCAAGGAGGAAGGAGACUGGGGGGAGCGUUGGGAUGUCUGAGCACCGGAUGAGGUACUAGGGGAGAAGAGGAACAAGUGAAGAUGGGAGAGUCCUGUUCUACCCAAAUCCCUUUCGUGGCACCCGAGUGUCAUAGGGUAAUGUCCGUAUUGUGCGCCUUGUAUGGACAAGCCUGUUGCCUAGGCUUCUGUCACCCAAGCCUAAAUAAACCUGCAUUAUCAUCCCGUCUCCCAUCCACUGAGUCAGUCAGGAUAGACACUUGGGAAGUG